rnacentral:rRNA from 1 species
AUUGAACGCUGGCGGCAGGCCUAACACAUGCAAGUCGAACGAGUGGCGGACGGGUGUGAAAUGUUUGGAAACCAGCCCGAUGGCGGGGGAUAACUAAUGGAAACGGUAGCAAAUACCGCAAACUAUUGGUUGUGCCAAGAGGAGAUUGGCUAGUAGGUGGGGUAACGGCUCACCUGGGCGACGAUCACUAGUGGGUCUGAGAGGAUGACAAGGCACACUGGAACUGAGACACGGUACAGACUCCUACGGGAGGCAGCAGUGGGGAAUAUUGCACAAUGGGCGCAAGCCUGAUGCAGCCAUGCCGCGUGUAUGAAGAAGGCCUUCGGGUUGUAAAGUACUUUCAGCGGGGAGGCGUUACCCGCAGAAGAAGCACCGGCUAACUCCGUGCCAGCAGCCGCGGUAAUUC